GCCUGGGUGGCUCAGUAGGUUGAGCAUCUGACUUUGGCUCAGGUCAUGAUUUCACAGCUCGUGAGUUCGAGACCCGCGUUGGGCU
rfam:Felis catus isolate Cinnamon breed Abyssinian chromosome C1, whole genome shotgun sequence.